rnacentral:misc_RNA from 1 species
UGCGCAUUUAAAUGAAGAUAUCUUUAUCGAAAACAGGACCUGGCUAGGAACAGAAUGGACAGGUCGACAGGUAAAGAUGCAGGAUCCUGUCUCGCGCGCCAUCAUGCAUUCACAGAGUACACGUUACAAUUGCUUGAAAAGGCUUCUUGUGCUUGACUGACAUAACAAGACAGUCAUCGAUACUUCAUUGGUCUGAAAGAUUUGGGAUAAUCGACGCCUUGUUCACGAGAUCGCUUUACCGACAACGUGAUCGAUGGAUUCUGAGAAUGAGAGAAGCAAUGAAAUUAAUCACGUAUAUUCACUCGCAUCGUGUUCUCAAUUAAUUUGCAACAAUUGACAUAUAACCGCUCUGGGCGCGAUGCAUCUUCCUCAAUUAAAAUCGAAUCGUGUGACAAUUGUUUGAAUUAAUGAUUGAAAUAACCGUUUUAUCUUUCUUCUGUGUUUCAGAAUCUAUAUUCCAUAGACGAAAUUAAUUUUUUUUUUUUUUUGUUUCAACGUUCGAUCAUUGGCUCAAGUUUGCACGUAUUACCGUAACCACCGUCUCGUUGUCUUCCUACGCGGGAAAGGAACCAACUUUUCAUUCGUCGUGUCUCGCAGCUGUUCACCGAUCGCAAUAACGUGGGCGAAGGCGACCUCACACUCAACGAAAACUUUAUAUUUUCGAAAGGUGAGCAAAAAUCACGGAUUUCUAGCCUUCGAGCCACCCACGAGACGGCGAAACCCACGUUUUUCCAGGCACCUGCGCGGCCAUACGCUAUUGGUUAAUACCAGUUGAUCGAUCGGUCGAUAUCGCCUCUGACGUAACAGUACGUGUUUGAAUCCCGUCUUUUCAUUAGCCUGUCCCUUGAUAACUAAUCUCUCGUUCAUAAAUACUAUAUGAAUUAUCGUCAGAAUU